rnacentral:lncRNA from 1 species
AAAAACUUAAGUGUUCACAGGUAUUGCAAGUCCAUGCAAGAUGAAGCAGGGAAGACAGCACCACACAUGUGGGGAAAGGUCCAGGGCAAACGGGAACACACUCUCAUAUUCAUUUUCUAGAAAGAAACCAGGUGCAGCCUUUCCCAGCCUCUGAGAUAAACUGGUGACCUCCUCCGAGCAGGACAGGAGAUGCUCAAUUUGGCUUUCUGGAAAUAGCCAGGCCAAAUAGCAGACAUGGGCAACAGCAAGAAAGAGAACAGAGUACAUGCAGACUACGUGGUGACGGAGCAGCCAUGGAACUCUAGGCUGACCAGGGUACAGCCUGAAUGCAUUCUGCCAGGCAGCCAUCUAACUCCUGCCACAGCACUUGUCCAUAUCCUGGAAUGUUCCAGCAUUUGCCUCUGUUCAAACGAUCCCUCCAGAACCGUGCUACCCUGUCUUCCUUCAAACAUGCUGCGUUGCUCCCUUUCUACUGCCUUGAUAACCCUCCACUGCAUUAGCCCUUCGUUUGUUUACUUAGUGUGUGUGUGUGUGUGUGUGUGUGUGUGUGUGUGUGUGUGUGUGUGUGUGUGUGUGUGCCCAUGUGCACACCUGAGUGGAUUUGUACACCUCAUCUUCACAGGUGCCCAGGAGGUGAGUCCCCUGGAACUGGAGUCACAGGAAGUUGUGAGCCGCCUGAUGUGGGGCUGAGAACCAAACUCAGAUCCUCUGCAAGAGCACUAAACUCUCUUCAUAGCUGAGCUGUCUCUCCAGCUCCACAUUUGCCCUGUCUUUCCAGACCCCUGUAUUGUUCCUUUCUUGUUUGCUUGUUGUCUGUCUCCCUCACUUGAAUAGAUUUGAUGAAGG